rnacentral:misc_RNA from 1 species
UGACGAUAUAAAUCGCGAGCGUAACGAAAGACUCGAGGUUUACUCCCGAGCGUAGCGAGGGAUUUAAGUUCACCCAAGACUAAGACAGCUUUAUCACCGAGGAAAAUACUCUACUUUUCGUACCAUUUGCGAAAAAACUAACACAAUAAUAAUAUGAGAUAAGCAUUUAUUAAAAAUAAUGACAAUUAAAACUCAUACGGCCUCGUCGGUUUUCGUAAUUUUA